CAGUAGCCACGGUAAUACGUAGGUCCCGAGCGUUGUCCGGAUUUAUUGGGUGUAAAGCGGGCGCAGGCGGUUAGAUAAGUCUGAAGUUAAAGGCUGUGGCUUAACCAUAGUACGCUUUGGAAACUGUUUAACUUGAGUGCAAGAGGGGAGAGUGGAAUUCCAUGUGUAGCGGUGAAAUGCGUAGAUAUAUGGAGGAACACCGGUGGCGAAAGCGGCUCUCUGGCUUGUAACUGACGCUGAGGCCCGAAAGCGUGGGGAGCAAACAGGAUUAGAUACCCGUGUAGUCCCUGUCUCUUAUACA
rnacentral:rRNA from 1 species